GAGGGAAAACCAUAAGAGGGUCAAAGAAGAUGGUGGUGGUUGUCGACAUUUGGAUUAUGAGAGUGUGGGAUGGAAUCGUUGACCUAAAGUAAUCUAACAAUAAUGAUGAAGAGAAAUAUAAAGAUAAUAUAAACAAAUAUCAUGAGAAAGAAGAGGAACAAAAUACAACUAAUAAUUAAAUUAAAAAUAAUAUAAAACAAUUGUAGCGAUUAAUAUAAAUUAACGAUAAUACAAAUAUUUCUUGUCGUAUAUUUUACCUUUACAAAGUAAGUGUUGGUAA
rnacentral:lncRNA from 1 species